rnacentral:rRNA from 1 species
CUACGGGUCGCUGCAGCGGGGAAUAUUGCACAAUGGGCGCAAGCCUGAUGCAGCCAUGCCGCGUGUAUGAAGAAGGCCUUCGGGUUGUAAAGUACUUUCAGCGGGGAGGAAGGGAGUAAAGUUAAUACCUUUGCUCAUUGACGUUACCCGCAGAAGAAGCACCGGCUAACUCCGUGCCAGCAGCCGCGGUAAUACGGAGGGUGCAAGCGUUAAUCGGAAUUACUGGACGUAAAGCGCACGCAGGCGGUUUGUUAAGUCAGAUGUGAAAUCCCCGGGCUCAACCUGGGAACUGCAUCUGAUACUGGCAAGCUCGAGUCUCGUAGAGGGGGGUAGAAUUCCAGGUGUAGCGGUGAAAUGCGUAGAGAUCUGGAGGAAUACCGGUGGCGAAGGCGGCCCCCUGGACGAAGACUGACGCUCAGGUGCGAAAGCGUGGGGAGCAAACAGGAUUAGAUACCCCGGUAGUC